rnacentral:rRNA from 1 species
GCGACGCUGGCGGCGUGCCUAUACAUGCAGUCGAGCGGACAGACGGGAGCUUGCUCCCUGAUGUCAGCGGCGGACGGGUGAGUAACACGUGGGUAACCUGCCUGUAAGACUGGGAUAACUCCGGGAAACCGGGGCUAAUACCGGAUGCUUGAUUGAACCGCAUGGUUCAAUUAUAAAAGGUGGCUUUUAGCUACCACUUACAGAUGGACCCGCGGCGCAUUAGCUAGUUGGUGAGGUAACGGCUCACCAAGGCAACGAUGCGUAGCCGACCUGAGAGGGUGAUCGGCCACACUGGGACUGAGACACGGCCCAGACUCCUACGGGAGGCAGCAGUAGGGAAUCUUCCGCAAUGGACGAAAGUCUGACGGAGCAACGCCGCGUGAGUGAUGAAGGUUUUCGGAUCGUAAAACUCUGUUGUUAGGGAAGAACAAGUACCGUUCGAAUAGGGCGGUACCUUGACGGUACCUAACCAGAAAGCCACGGCUAACUACGUGCCAGCAGCCGCGGUAAUACGUAGGUGGCAAGCGUUGUCCGGAAUUAUUGGGCGUAAAGCGCGCGCAGGCGGUUUCUUAAGUCUGAUGUGAAAGCCCCCGGCUCAACCGGGGAGGGUCAUUGGAAACUGGGGAACUUGAGUGCAGAAGAGGAGAGUGGAAUUCCACGUGUAGCGGUGAAAUGCGUAGAGAUGUGGAGGAACACCAGUGGCGAAGGCGACUCUCUGGUCUGUAACUGACGCUGAGGCGCGAAAGCGUGGGGAGCGAACAGGAUUAGAUACCCUGGUAGUCCACGCCGUAACGAUGAGUGCUAAGUGUUAGAGGGUUUCCGCCCUUUAGUGCUGCAGCAACGCAUUAGCACUCGCUGGGGAGUACGUCGCAGACUGAACUCAAAGAAUUGACGGGGCCCGCACAAGCGGUGGAGCAUGUGGUUUAUUCGAAGCACGCGAGAACCUU